UACAGAGGUCCCAAGCGUUGUUCGGAUUCACUGGGCGUAAAGGGCGCGUAGGCGGCCUUGUCAGUCAGGCGUGAAAGCCCCGGGCUCAACCUGGGAACGGCGCUUGGGACGGCGAGGCUGGAGUUCGGGAGAGGAGAGUGGAAUUCCCAGUGUAGAGGUGAAAUUCGUAGAUAUUGGGAAGAACACCGGUGGCGAAGGCGGCUCUCUGGACCGACACUGACGCUGAGGCGCGAAAGCGUGGGGAGCAAACAGG
rnacentral:rRNA from 1 species